AUACUUAGCUGGAAAGGAAGAAAACAUGGUCAGCAAGGUGGUUUUCCCAGGGUGAGGCUUAGCCACUGCACUCCAGAUGUGCUGACCCCUGCGAUUUCCCCACAUGUGGAAAACUCAACUUGUGGUAGAGGGGAACUGUGUUCACUUUCUCCCCUG
rfam:Otolemur garnettii contig126444, whole genome shotgun sequence.